UCUGCCCAGUGCUCUGAAUGU
rnacentral:ncRNA from 2 species